GCAUGNAGUUGUGCGCCUUCCUAGCCAUGUCGGAGGCGCGGCGUACGGCUCAGUAACACGUGGUUAACCUACCCUUAGGAUUGGAAUAACUCCGGGAAACUGGAGCUAAUGCUGGAUAGACGAAGACGCUUGGAAUAGUGUUUCGUUGAAAAGGCGUAGAAAACAUGCUUUCUACGUUGCCUAAGGAUGAGACCGCGUCCGAUCAGGUUGUUGGUGGGGUAACGGCCCACCAAGCCGAUAACCGGUACGGGCCCUGAGAUGGGGAGCCCGGAGAUGGAACCUGAGACAAGGUUCCAGGCCUUACGGGGCGCAGCNGGCGCGAAAACUCCACAAUGCACGAAAGUGUGUUGGGGUUACCCCCCNGUGCCGNUGUUAAANAUGGUUUUUUUUUUCGGCCUAAGGNGCCGGGGGAANAANNNGGGGGGCA
rnacentral:rRNA from 1 species